rnacentral:rRNA from 1 species
GACGAACGCUGGCGGCGUGCUUAACACAUGCAAGUCGCGCGGUAAGGCCCUUUCGGGGGUACACGAGCGGCGAACGGGUGAGUAACACGUGGGUGACCUGCCCUCAGCUCUGGGAUAAGCCUGGGAAACCGGGUCUAAUACUGGAUAUGACUCCAUGACGCAUGUUGUGGGGUGGAAAGCCUUGUGCGGCUGAGGAUGGGCCCGCGGCCUAUCAGCUUGUUGGUGGGGUGANGGCCUACCAAGGCGACGACGGGUAGCCGGCCUGAGAGGGCGACCGGCCACACUGGGACUGAGACACGGCCCAGACUCCUACGGGAGGCAGCAGUGGGGAAUCUUGCGCAAUGGGCGAAAGCCUGACGCAGCGACGCCGCGUGAGGGAUGACGGCCU